rnacentral:rRNA from 1 species
GAUGAACGCUGGCGGCGUGCCUAAUACAUGCAAGUCGAGCGAACGGACGAGAAGCUUGCUUCUCUGAUGUUAGCGGCGGACGGGUGAGUAACACGUGGAUAACCUACCUAUAAGACUGGGAUAACUUCGGGAAACCGGAGCUAAUACCGGAUGAUAUUUUGAACCGCAUGGUUCAAAAGUGAAAGACGGUCUUGCUGUCACUUAUAGAUGGAUCCGCGCUGCAUUAGCUAGUUGGUAAGGUAACGGCUUACCAAGGCAACGAUGCAUAGCCGACCUGAGAGGGUGAUCGGCCACACUGGAACUGAGACACGGUCCAGACUCCUACGGGAGGCAGCAGUAGGGAAUCUUCCGCAAUGGGCGAAAGCCUGACGGAGCAACGCCGCGUGAGUGAUGAAGGUCUUCGGAUCGUAAAACUCUGUUAUGAGGGAAGAACAUAUGUGUAAGUAACUGUGCACAUCUUGACGGUACCUAAUCAGAAAGCCACGGCUAACUACGUG